GUGGAGCAGAGAGGGAAUUACCUCAAUCUCAGGUGUGAGGCUCAACAUGGCACCUCAUAUAUUACUUUUACCUGAACAAUGGUGACUUACACUUCAAAAAGCAACCCUACAAAGAUAAUGUUUGCGUGGGGAGAGUUGCCCAAGAGGAGCUACUGACGAUGAUGAAGAGGAGCAGCCCUGGAGAGAUUUUCAUCACAUGUGCUGUGGAGAUGGUGAUAAAGGGGAAUUCUGUGACAUCACAGCACAGUGAACCUCUCAGUAUCACCGUAGAUGCUGUAAAUCCUACAGGAGCCACAGGUUCCAUAGCAGACUUCAGUUCCAUCCCACCUGGAGAGGAGAAGGCAGUCAGUGAAGUCAUCAGCCUAACUACCCAAGAAGAAGACCCUUCCUCAAUGAUCCCCCUCUACAUCGGUCUCCGUGCCGGUAUCUAUGUUCUCAUCCUUCUGGUGGAAUCUCUUCUGUGUUUUCUCUGGUGUAGACAUGGUGAUGAACGAGGAAAUAACAGUAGGAGGAAGAGAACUCAAGUCUGCACUAUGCUAUGAGGAUGUGACCUUGCUGGGGAGUUCAAGUUGGAUAUGGCUGGAGAGUAUGAUGUGUCAAUGUUUUUAUAAACCAGAAGUCAAUAGGAGUAGAAGUUAUUACAUUCGAACAAGUUGCAAUUUCAUGCACCUUGUGAAUGAAUUUUUAUAUUAUGCACAGUGUUUAAUGUGUAAUGUGUUUGUAUAUGUUAAAUAUAGCAAUUUUAUUAGCAUUGAAUUUUUUUCUGCUCUUGUAUGUUGUGUUUUCCAGUGGAAAUAAAGCUUGUACAGUAUGUUGUAAAUCUUGUUGGAAAUGUUGUUUCUUUUCUCUGGAAGAGAAAUUGUGUUGUUUAGAUUACACAGCCGUUGUGUUUCAAUGGUCUGUCUCAUGAUGUUCACUGUUGUACCUGAGCUUUAGCUGGGUGUUUUGUGUCUGUUUGUCAUGUAGACGUGACCACAGUGGGGGUAGUGCUCAUUGUAAGGUUCUGCUUCACUUUCUUUAG
rnacentral:lncRNA from 1 species